UUGGGUUCUAAAAGGAAGUUAGAAAGCUGUGAAUCAAAUAACCUGGAAGAGAGAGGUUUCCGAGGGGAGACUGGUUCAGCGGCGCGAGAUUUCGUAAGGGAACAAUCUACGACGGCAGCAAUCGGUGGCGAGAUUGGUUUGCGACACAACGCUUGACGGUUUGAGAUUGAUUUGACGACUCGGCAGUUCGGCGGCGAGACUGAUUCCUCUCUUCUCUUUGAUCUGUAAAAAAUCGAAGAUGUUAUCUUUAGUGCAAUUGAAAAGGGUGACCACUUUAUUUUAGCUCCAUUGUUUUCAGAUGAAUUGCAUGAGGCAACCUUCUUGAGGUAUUAAUUGUGUUUGUUUUUCCUCUAGAAACAGCUAUGCUAUUAGUUAUAUGCUUGUUUUGUUAAUUUAUGUGUCUUGUUUUAAGAUCAUCAUUUGCCUUGUUGCUCAUCUUGUUUGCUCCAAGAGCUUGGAUUUGUUCAAAGGCAAUGAGAAUGAUUUUGAUGCUGUUCUAGCAAAAAUGGAGAAGGGGAUGAGCAUGUCUGAUAUAAUGAAGGAAUUGGGCUAUGGAUGCACGGUUAAUGUCUCACAGUGCAUGGAGAUGUUAUCUCUUUUCUUAUCACUGACUGAAAUCACUGUCUCUACGAUACUUGGCACAAUUGCCCACACCCAUACUGGGCUUGAGGACAAUUAAAAUGCAUUUUCGAGUUACUGUUAUGCUCUUGGUAUUGACAGUUUGUCUAAUCUGCCAUUGAUGAGCUCAUGGUAUAUUGAUGUCCUUAUUGAUUCAAUCAAGCAGCUUGUGAGUAUUUUAUUAUUUUUUUUCCA